UGCAGAAAAGCUAAGCACAACAAUGUCAAACCAGGUCUCAGACUCUGCCAUGAACCGAACAACUGCAGGACAUGAGAAGACACGUAUGUCCUUUAGAUGGGACAGAGUCAGCCCUGCACACCACCGCAUGCUGCUCCCAUCCAGCUGUCUGUUUUCUCUUCUUGAACAUCAUGCUUCUCGUGUCCCUGAUAAAUGCUUCCCACCCUUCCCAGGGCACUCGGCCUGGAAGAGGGACCCGAGACGGCAACAGAAUUGUCUCUCCAUGCACCUGUGACAUAGAACCUCCGCCCCCUCAAGUAACAGCUGGCUUCAGCACACCCACAGCACGUCUCCCACACUUUGGGUGCUUAGACAGCAGGAGGCCAGGCAAAUGGAGGAACUCAGACUGGGAUGCCCUUGAAUCUGAACCCACACUCUCCUGCUUCCUAGCUUCUCUGGCAGAGGCCACGGAAGACGGAGCUAAGAUACUGGGACCUUGACUUCAAGGUGUGGAAUGUGUGUGGACCCCGAAGCCUCUUCUAUGUCAACCCAAAGAUCUGAGGGCGCCCUGGAAUCUGCAGUAGCCAUUCAAGGGCCACACCUCACAAGCCUUCAUGACAUGGCAAAUAUUGGCUUGGACUCUAUUUGUUUAUUUGUUUAUUUAUUUAUUUUUUUGCUCUGCCUCCCACUCCCCAGCUGCUUCGGCACACUGUCCGUGCCCUAGAAAAAGUAGGCAUUUUUCUUCUGGGGAUUCCAAUCCACCUCACUCAGCAGAUACUCCCCCCCCCUCCCCCCGCCCCACACACACACUGUAGAUCACAGCAGACGACUCUCUGCCUGGCUUCAGGAGCUAGAGACUCCAAGCCUCUUGCUCCAUUUCCCUGAAUCUUUGGAGUUUUUCAACAGAAAAAAACCCAAAACAAACAAACAAAAAAAACCAAACAACAACAAAAAUAAAAGCAAAAAUAAAACUGGGUUGUGAUUCUGUUACCAGCUCUUAACCUUGACUACACGAGAAUUACCACAGAUUAAAAAAAAAAAAAAAAACAACAAACCAAAAACCAAAAACCCACCAGAGAGCCUCUCACGCCCCUGCUAAGAUUAGAAGCUGAGGUUACAAAGUCAUUUCUGUACAAAUCUACCAUUAACAAAAUGUUAAUGUUAAUCUAACAUUAACAAAACACAUAGUACUAAAUUUCCAUUUACUC